rnacentral:lncRNA from 1 species
UGCAUUCAUGGCUUUCCCGUCCAACCACCCUUUUUAUGUUCUAUACGUUUUGGAUAUAUAUGCUACUUCGGGAUAUGUAGACUGGAUAACGUUUAAUGGAAAAUUGGGUCAUGGAUGUUAGCAAAAGUGAUUAUGAAAAUGGAUUAUGGAUAUUAGUGGGUAACUGUAUUAUGACAGAUAUGAAUGAGUUUGAAUGUGGAUUAAUUGAAUCUAAAUGAAUUAAAUUUGAA